GAGGAAUAUUGGGCAAUGGACGAAAGUCUGACCCAGCCAUGCCGCGUGCAGGAUGACGGCGCUACGCGUUGUAAACUGCUUUUUUGCAGGAAGAAACUUUCGCACGUGUGCGGAACUGACGGUACUGUAAGAAUAAGCAUCGGCUAACUCCGUGCCAGCAGCCGCGGUAAUACGGAGGAUGCAAGCGUUAUCCGGAUUUAUUGGGUUUAAAGGGUGCGUAGGCGGAAUAUUAAGUCGGUGGUGAAAUCCUGCAGCCUAACUGUAGAACUGUCAUUGAUACUGGUAUUCUUGAAUAUAGUUGAGGUGGGCGGAAUGUGUAAUGUAGCGGUGAAAUGCUUAGAUAUUACACAGAACACCGAUUGCGAAGGCAGCUCACUAAACUAUCAUUGACGCUGAGGCACGAAAGCGUGGGUAGCAAAC
rnacentral:rRNA from 1 species